GCGGGCGUAACUCAGUUGGUAGAGUAUCACGUUGCCAUCGUGAAUGUCGCGAGUUCGAAUCUCGUCGCCCGCU
rnacentral:tRNA from 1 species